rnacentral:rRNA from 1 species
CCUACGGAGGCAGCAGUGGGGAAUAUUGGACAAUGGGCGAAAGCCUGAUCCAGCCAUGCCGCGUGUGUGAAGAAGGCCUUCGGGUUGUAAAGCACUUUCAGUGGGGAAGAAAGCCUUGGGGCUAAUACCCUCGAGGAAGGACAUCACCCACAGAAGAAGCACCGGCUAACUCCGUGCCAGCAGCCGCGGUAAUACGGAGGGUGCGAGCGUUAAUCGGAAUUACUGGGCGUAAAGCGCGCGUAGGCGGUCUGAUAAGCCGGUUGUGAAAGCCCCGGGCUCAACCUGGGAACGGCAUCCGGAACUGUCAGGCUAGAGUGCAGGAGAGGAAGGUAGAAUUCCCGGUGUAGCGGUGAAAUGCGUAGAGAUCGGGAGGAAUACCAGUGGCGAAGGCGGCCUUCUGGACUGACACUGACGCUGAGGUGCGAAAGCGUGGGUAGCAAACAGGAUUAGAUACCCUAGUAGUC